UACGUAGGGGGCUAGCGUUGUCCGGAUUUAUUGGGCGUAAGGAGCGUGUAGGCGGCCAGGUAGGUCUGCUGUGAAAACUCGAGGCUCAACCUCGAGACGUCGGCGGAAACCAUCUGGCUAGAGUCCGGAAGAGGAGAGUGGAAUUCCUGGUGUAGCGGUGAAAUGCGCAGAUAUCAGGAAGAACACCGAUGGCGAAGGCAGGUCUCUGGGCAUUAACUGACGCUGAGGAGCGAAAGCAUGGGGAGCGAACAGG
rnacentral:rRNA from 1 species